GAUGAACGCUGGCGGCGUGCCUAAUACAUGCAAGUCGAGCGAACAGAUGAGGAGCUUGCUCCUCUGACGUUAGCGGCGGACGGGUGAGUAACACGUGGAUAACCUACCUAUAAGACUGGGAUAACUUCGGGAAACCGGAGCUAAUACCGGAUAAUAUAUUGAACCGCAUGGUUCAAUAGUGAAAUACGGUUUUUCUGUCACUUAUAGAUGGAUCCGCGCCGCAUUAGCUAGUUGGUAAGGUAACGGCUUACCAAGGCAACGAUGCGUAGCCGACCUGAGAGGGUGAUCGGCCACACUGGAACUGAGACACGGUCCAGACUCCUACGGGAGGCAGCAGUAGGGAAUCUUCCGCAAUGGGCGAAAGCUUGACGGAGCAACGCCGCGUGAGUGAUGAAGGUCUUCGGAUCGUAAAACUCUGUUAUUAGGGAAGAACAAAUGUGUAAGUAACUAUGCACGUCUUGACGGUACCUAAUCAGAAAGCCACGGCUAACUACGUG
rnacentral:rRNA from 1 species